CCCCUUGUGCCCCCUCCACUCUUCAUGCUCCACACCCUUCAGCUCCAGAGACGAGUGAGAUGGGGAUGUGUCUGCAGCACCAGGGAGGGACGGUGUCUGAGAGGUCCCCUGCACCCCACAAUCCUAAAUUGAGAAGCACCCGUCCGACAAACACAAGAGGAGAUAGGAAGAUGGAGAUACGCACCCAUCUAAUGUGGAACCGGAGAAAACAACAAAGAAACAAGAGAUGACGUGGCCCACCAUGUGGAGGAUGUGGGACUUCCUACUAAGAUCUGCGAACGCUCACCAAUCUUCUUGGAAAUCGGAAUUCUCCAUCCUCCAAAUCUCUGUUUCACCAAUAAGUGAAGUGGAGAUUAUGUUCCUCAUGUCCACUGCCAAACUGGGAAUGGACUCUAACAUUCAAACUAUUGACGAGAGAACACCUGCAAAUCUAUACAUGCCUUAAUCAUAUACUAUAAAAUAAUAUAAUAUGUUAUAGAAUUGCCUUAUAAUAGGGCUUCAACCUUUGAAUGCUGGGUUCCCACAUCCGUGAAUGAAAGUGCCAAAGCAUUUGCCCAACACAGCGACAUCUAUGUUAAUGUGGCUGGUACUGCAGCUCAGCCCAUUCAAGUGAAGGCCACAAAGCAUGGUUGAGUUGCAGUACUUGGCAGAGCCAUACCCACAUGUCAUUUUGCCUGGUACUGCAGUGUAGAAGUCUAUGAACUGGCUUCUCUGUUUGGGUACUGCCCGAGGGUGAAGCUGGCAAAAUUGUGUGGCCAUUGGCUGCUGCAGGUGGGAUUGGCUUGGCUGUAUGCUGUCAGCUGCAAAAUGUGGUUGUAUCAUUGGAAGGUGUGGGUAUUCCUGCCAUAAGGUGAUGUCUGAUGAUGCUGCAAAAAUGUUUUCUUUUUUUCAGUGUUGGAACUGUUACAGAUGUUUAUUUUAUUUUUUUAUUGUAAUUUUCUAAAUCUUCAGAUGUCUUCCAAGGAUUUUCGACCUAUGCCGACAACCUGACAGAAUUGAUGGCAACGUUCCCCAUUCCCCAUCCUGUGUGUUCCCUAAUCUUGGCUAACCUCUACUCAAGCUUAAUGUCCUCUGCAAUGCCUCCUCUGUGUCCAUGUAACGGUCCUCAGCUUGUUUUCUUCCGGCGCUGCAUGGGCAUAGUCACAUGCUCCACUGCAGCCAGUGAGCGGCUUCAGCAGUGACGUGCUGCUUCUGCCCAUGGCACCAUUGAAGUCAGUCAUUGGCUGCAGUGGAGCAUAUGAUCAUGCAGCACCGAAAGAAAACAAGCCGUAGACCGGAACAUGAACAAACUGGAGGCAUUGUGGAGGACCAAAGAGGCAGGGAGCAGAUAAGUAUGAAUCUUCUGUUUACGGUAGGCUGCAGGCACUUACAGAAAAAUAAAUCAGUAUUCCUGGAGAACCCCUUUAAAAAAAAACACUGAAAAACAAUUUAUUGUACCAAUAAAACUGCAGCUCAUCCCACAAAUAAACAAAGCCUCAUACGGCUCUAUCAAUUAAAGAAAACACAAUUGUUAUAGAUCUCAGGCUAUGGCCAGAGAAAACAAACAUUUUACAAUUUUAUAUUUUUGUAUUGUGCAAAAUAGUAAACCUAGAUAAAAAAAAAAAACUAUCACUAUUGUCUAGCAUAACACAUGCAUAAAUGGAAGGCAGGAAGGUGUUUAAAAAAAAACUUAAAAAAGAUGAUUCAUAUUGAAAAGGAAUUGCUUCUUUCUUCUAUUUAUUGUAUGAAAACUACUUCGUUCCAUUUAUUUUUACUUUUUGUUGUGUCGAUGGUGGAACGCUGCGGGGGAGGCGGGUUGUUAUUUAAUAAUCGGUCACCGACUUUUAGUCAGAAUAACAGAAUUUUGGACACCUUACCCAUUUCUUUGUAUGUUGACCUUGACUGACCUAAUAAAUAAAGUUAAAACAAAACCAUCACUCACCUUUUAAAGUUCCGAUGCUGCAGCUCCCGGUGGUACAUGGAAGUGAUAAGGUCUCGUUCUUGGUCACAAGACCACUGCAGCCAAUCCCUGGCUCAGUGGUCACAUGUGGAAAAACGGCACGUCACUGCUAAGACUCAGCAGUGGAAUGGGGCUGGAAAAGGAAGUUUAAAAAAAGUGAUAUUUUUUCACACUUUGUGGUAUCACGAGAAUGUUUUGUAUGGAAUUUUUUGAACACCAGUACAGACUACAGUGCUCUGCAAUAGAUAACCAUGAUGUGAUCCUACCUACGAUAUGCCUUCAUGGCUGAGCAGCCUGACAGGAACGCUCACCAAUGUGUAGUAUAUGCAAGUGCAAGAGAGUAGUGUAUAGGGAGGCCCUACCCCCUUAGGCAGCUGUGCCAGAGGACGCAUCCAGUCCUGCUCACAUUCUAGGAUAGGUUGCUUUGUGGCCACAUUAAAUCAUUGCCGGAGAACCCCUUUAAGGGUACUUUCACACUUGCGGCAUAGGAUCCGGCAAUACGGACGCAAACGGAUGCAUUUGUCAGAUGGAUCCUGAUGCGGAUCCGUCUGA